UACGUAGGGGGCGAGCGUUGUCCGGAGUUACUGGGCGUAAAGCGCACGCAGGCGGUCUGCUAAGUUUGGAGUGACAGUUGGUGGCUCAACUGCCAAAGUGCUUCGAAAACUGACAGACUUGAGGGCUUCAGAGGGACACGGAAUUCCGGGUGGAGUGGUGAAAUGCGUAGAGAUCCGGAGGAACACCAAAGGCGAAGGCAGUGUCCUGGGGAGUGCCUGACGCUCAGGUGCGAAAGCCAGGGGAGCGAACGGG
rnacentral:rRNA from 1 species